rnacentral:misc_RNA from 1 species
UUUCCGUAGGUGAACCUGCGGAAGGAUCAUUAUUGUAUAACCGAGGUGCGAGGGCUGUCGCUGACCCGAAAGGUCGUGCACGCCCGAGUGCCCUCACACACAUCCAUCUUACCCCUAUGUGCACCACCGCGUGGGUCCCCCUUUGGCUUGUUCGGAGGGGGGCUUACGUUUUCACACAAACUUUGUAUGCAGUGUAGAGUGUAUUUUUUGUUUUUGCGAUCACGCAAUCAAUACAACUUUCAACAACGGAUCUCUUGGCUCUC